GCUACCAAGACGACUUUUUAAUGGAGACCCACGUGGCCCGGUGAGAAGAGCAAGGUCCCACUUUCAGCUUUUUGUACAGGUGACUGAGCUCAUAUCAUCCAUGACAGGAGGCGGUUCUGAGGAUCUGGGUCGUGGUGACUGCUGAAGCUUCUACUCCAGAUUUGAAGGGAACAAAUCAGUCCUCAGGAGACCCAAACACUUCCAUCCCUGGUGGGAUAUGACACCUGGCUCAAGCCCAGGAAUGAAGGAAGGGAGUUAUCAGGAUGGCAAUCCUUAUAACCAGAUCCUUAUCCACAUCCUUCACUAUGUCCUGAAGAUGAAUUUGUACAAAAGAAAUUAUUGGUGUAAGUGAGAGUAUGUCGAGAGAAGGUAAACACUGGCAGGAAUUUCCCGGUGAGUCAGGCCCAUUUCUACAUAGUGGAUGAAUGCCCUGAUGGGGCUGGGGGAAGGAAAGAAGGCAGUUCUACCAUUUCCAGUCAACUGAGUCAUGGACUCAAUGAUGGAGUUUGAGGUAAGAGAAUGAAGUCACCACCCACCCCAUUUCUUCCUGUUUCCUUGGUUUUCCUGACCUCUUAUUCCUCCCUGCCACCCCCGCCCCACCCCACUUUAUG